rnacentral:rRNA from 1 species
GAGUUUGAUCGUGGCUCAGAUUGAACGCUGGCGGCAGGCCUAACACAUGCAAGUCGAGCGGAUGAAGGGAGCUUGCUCCUGGAUUCAGCGGUGGACGGGUGAGUAAUGCCUAGGAAUCUGCCUGGUAGUGGGGGAUAACGUCCGGAAACGGGCGCUAAUACCGCAUACGUCCUGAGGGAGAAAGUGGGGGAUCUUCGGACCUCACGCUAUCAGAUGAGCCUAGGUCGGAUUAGCUAGUUGGUGGGUAAAGGCCUACCAAGGCGACGAUCCGUAACUGGUCUGAGAGGAUGAUCAGUCACACUGGAACUGAGACACGGUCCAGACUCCUACGGGAGGCAGCAGUGGGGAAUAUUGGACAAUGGGCGAAAGCCUGAUCCAGCCAUGCCGCGUGUGUGAAGAAGGUCUUCGGAUUGUAAAGCACUUUAAGUUGGGAGGAAGGGCAGUAAGUUAAUACCUUGCUGUUUGACGUUACCAACAGAAUAAGCACCGGCUAACUUCGUGCCAGCCGCCGCA